ensembl:lncRNA
UUAUAUCAUAAACUUAAAUCAGUAAUGUCUAAAUGUAAUUUCAGAUUAUCUAUACAUUCAUUUUGAGGGUAGACAGUUUAACUUUAAAAUUAUAAUAUAGCUUAGCUCUUUUCUGUGUUCUUUAUCUUGGAAUGUUUUGUCAAAUGUGGGUAACAAAGCCUGUAAGACAUGAAGACAUUGGGAUUUAACUUUUACCUGAAGUAUUACCAUGUUUGCAGUAUUUCUUAGGGCAUUUUGUAGGAUGUAUAUUCUGUUUAAUAUGAAUUGUAUAUUAAGUAAAGCUAGAUUAUCAACUAUCAAAUAAUGUCAUUCCUACACUCACUAACUUUUGUGGCAAUAUCUGUUUCUUAACAUCUACUGCAAGUAUAUGUUCUCACAUUCUUACAUGUGAAAGAUAUCAUAUGCAGGAAUUGGUAAUCAUUUGAAAUAUGGUAAUGUUUGGAUAGGGUAAUUAGUAUAUUCAAAUAUUUUCACAUACAAAUAAGCAAAAUGUCUUAGCAUGGCACACACGAAUAGAAGAUAUAUCCUUACAUUUGUAAAAGAUCUAGUGAGUAGGAUAGAUUUUGGGAUCUUUAUAAGGUAGUUUACUCUGUAUUAUGCAAUAUUGGUAGCUCGUCAUGGUGACAAGAAAGAUAUUUCAGCAUGGAGUUGAUAGUGGAACUUUUCAGCAAACACAGAUCAAUAGGAGAAACUGACUAUAGGUAUUCAUGAGUCCAUUUUGUUCCUGAUGAGUUUUGUUUUAAUAAUUUAAAGGCAGCAAAAUGGGCAUAUUCACAAGAAAAGGAUAUUUCCUCAAUGGCAAUAGAUUUUUAAACGUCUCCUGUAAUAUUAAGAAACAAAUGUAAAUUAUUAGUGAUCAAAAAUGUGACAAUACAGUGAUGUCAUUUGACCUGUGUAUAUAUAUUAAACCCUAUAAGUUGACUGUCCCCUCAAGUCCUCUCUGCACAGUUGUUAAAGGAUAGACUGUAUUUGUUACCGACCUGGGUUCUUGGACUGUUUAAUCAGUAGAAAUUGGUAACAGGCCAGGCAAAGAAUUCAGGCAGAGCUUUAUUGGAACUCCCUUGGACUGCAAGGAGAUCCAACCAGUCAAUCCUAAAGGAAAUCAGUCCUGAAUAUUCACUGGAAGGACUGAUGCUGAGGCCAAAACUCCAAUACUUUGGCUACCUGAUGCGAAGAACUGACUCAUUGGAAAAGACCCUGAUGCUGGGAAAGAUUGAAGGCAGGAGGAGAAGGGGAUGACAGAGGAUGACAUGGUUGGAUGGCAUCACCAACUUGAUGGACACGAGUUUGAGUAAAUUCUGGGAGUUGGUGAUGGACAGGGAAGCCUGGCGUGCUGCAGUCCAUGGGUUCACAGAGUUGGACACGACUGAGCAACUGAACUGAACUGCAGCACAGGUGCCCUCUUCUCUGACCUCUACUCCAUGCCAGUAAAAGGAAAGGAAGGGGUAACCUGCAACUGAGUGAAUCAAGUCACUGCCCCCACGGAAUAAAAACUGCAAAUGGAAGUUAUCUUCUCAAAUAAUUACAAGAUGCACAAGACCUAUAGACACGUGUUUUGCAAUUCUCACCCUCAUCUGUAUGAUUUAAACAAAUUUUAAAUGUACUAGAUUCUAAAAACACAACUCCUACAUCACAACUUAAUUAUCCAUAUCCAAACAGCUGGAGCCAGUUACCCACUCCCUCUACCUGUACUACCAGGUUAUUCCAUUCCAUUCACCUUACCUGUCUCCCUAUUCUAUCCCUGUGUCUCUUUUUGCUCCCAUCUACCCUCCUGCUGUUUCUCCCCUCCUAGUUCUUCCCUCACACCUGUUCUGCCCCACUCUUCAACUUAUUCCCCUCCCCUCUUGCACUCUUUUUCCCCAACCUGACUGCCCUCAAUCUCCAUUAUUUCUGGUCAUUUCUUCCCCUGAC